UGAUCUCAGGUUCAAUUAUUGGGAUGUUCUGCUUACCCAAAGUGAGUUCUACAGUGGAAAGACACAGUUCCAGAUAGUUCCUCUUACUCACACCCUGACGGCUUUCUGGAGAUUCCCACUCUCAAAGCGUGAUUCAAACAACAGUGUGGUGUCUUCUGGAUCUCUUAAGCUGACCGCAGCUGAUUUGAUGGGCACUUUCGACCCUCCAACUCGGGAACCAGUGAAACAGGUACCCUUGGUUGCUGCAGAAAAGGAAGUAUGGCUAUCACUGACUUAGCACUGCAGUUUUGUCUCAAUUAGCAGGUAUGUGUGCCAACUCUGCAAAACCAAUUACUCAGUCCUGAGCAACCAUGAACAAAUGGCACUGAAAAAUGGCUGC